UACAGAGGUCCCAAGCGUUGUUCGGAUUCACUGGGCGUAAAGGGUGCGUAGGUGGUGAGGUAAGUCGGAUGUGAAAGCUCGGAGCUCAACUCCGAAAUGGCAUUGGAAACUACCUUGCUCGAGGGUUGGAGGGGGGACUGGAAUGCUUGGUGUAGCAGUGAAAUGCGUAGAUAUCAAGCGGAACACCAGUGGCGAAGGCGAGUCCCUGGACAGCUCCUGACACUGAGGCACGAAAGCUAGGGGAGCAAACAGG
rnacentral:rRNA from 1 species